rnacentral:rRNA from 1 species
AUUGAACGCUGGCGGCAUGCUUUACACAUGCAAGUCGAACGGUAACAGGCCUUCGGGUGCUGACGAGUGGCGAACGGGUGAGUAAUGCAUCGGGACGUACCCAGAGGUGGGGGAUAACGCAGCGAAAGCUGUGCUAAUACCGCAUGUGAUCUGAGGAUGAAAGCGGGGGACCGAGCAGCAAUGUUUGGCCUCGCGCCUUUGGAGCGGCCGAUGUCGGAUUAGCUAGUUGGUGGGGUAAAGGCCUACCAAGGCGACGAUCCGUAGCUGGUCUGAGAGGACGACCGGCCACACUGGGACUGAGACACGGCCCAGACUCCUACGGGAGGCAGCAGUGGGGAAUUUUGGACAAUGGGCGCAAGCCUGAUCCAGCAAUGCCGCGUGCGGGAAGAAGGCCUUCGGGUUGUAAACCGCUUUUGGCAGGAACGAAACGGUGUCCGCUAAUACCGGGCGCUAAUGACGGUACCUGCAGAAUAAGCACCGGCUAACUACGUG